CCUCCGUCUGUUGGGUAAGAUCCUGUGUUUGCUGGGUAAGGUCUCCCGAUUGCUCAAUAACACCCUGUGAUUGUUGACUAAAGUCCUCCGUCUGUUGGGUCAGAUCCUGUGUUUGCUGGGUAAGAUCCUGUGUUUGCUGGGUAAGAUCCUCCGUUUGUUGGGUAAGAUCCUGUGUUUGCUGAGUAAGGUCUCCCGAUUGCUCAAUAACACCCUGUGAUUGUUGACUAAAAUCCUCCGCCUGUUGGGUAAGAUCUUGUGUUUGCUGGGUUAAGUCCUCUGUUUGUUGAGUGAGAUCCUGUGUUUGCUGGGUAAGAUCCUGUGUUUGCUGGGUAAGAUCUUGUGUUUGCUGAGUUAAAUCCUCUGUUUGUUGGGUAAGAUCUUCUAUUUGUUGGGUAAGAUCUUCUGUUUGCUGGGUAAGAUCUUCCGUGUGCUGGUUGAUAUGUUGGGUUUGUU